AGAGUUUGAUCCUGGCUCAGGAUGAACGCUAGCUACAGGCUUAACACAUGCAAGUCGAGGGGCAGCAUGGUCUUAGCUUGCUAAGGCCGAUGGCGACCGGCGCACGGGUGAGUAACACGUAUCCAACCUGCCGUCUACUCUUGGACAGCCUUCUGAAAGGAAGAUUAAUACAAGAUGGCAUCAUGAGUCCGCAUGUUCACAUGAUUAAAGGUAUUCCGGUAGACGAUGGGGAUGCGUUCCAUUAGAUAGUAGGCGGGGUAACGGCCCACCUAGUCUUCGAUGGAUAGGGGUUCUGAGAGGAAGGUCCCCCACAUUGGAACUGAGACACGGUCCAAACUCCUACGGGAGGCAGCAGUGAGGAAUAUUGGUCAAUGGGCGAGAGCCUGAACCAGCCAAGUAGCGUGAAGGAUGACUGCCCUAUGGGUUGUAAACUUCUUUUAUAAAGGAAUAAAGUCGGGUAUGGAUACCCGUUUGCAUGUACUUUAUGAAUAAGGAUCGGCUAACUCCGUGCCAGCAGCCGCGGUAAUACGGAGGAUCCGAGCGUUAUCCGGAUUUAUUGGGUUUAAAGGGAGCGUAGAUGGAUGUUUAAGUCAGUUGUGAAAGUUUGCGGCUCAACCGUAAAAUUGCAGUUGAUACUGGAUAUCUUGAGUGCAGUUGAGGCAGGCGGAAUUCGUGGUGUAGCGGUGAAAUGCUUAGAUAUCACGAAGAACUCCGAUUGCGAAGGCAGCCUGCUAAGCUGCAACUGACAUUGAGGCUCGAAAGUGUGGGUAUCAAACAGGAUUAGAUACCCUGGUAGUCCACACGGUAAACGAUGAAUACUCGCUGUUUGCGAUAUACUGCAAGCGGCCAAGCGAAAGCGUUAAGUAUUCCACCUGGGGAGUACGCCGGCAACGGUGAAACUCAAAGGAAUUGACGGGGGCCC
rnacentral:rRNA from 1 species